rnacentral:rRNA from 1 species
UACGGAAGGCAGCAGUGGAGAAUAUUGCACAAUGGGCGCAAGCCUGAUGCAGCCAUGCCGCGUGUAUGAAGAAGGCCUUCGGGUUGUAAAGUACUUUCAGUCGUGAGGAAGGUGUUAAGGUUAAUAACCUUAGCAAUUGACGUUAGCGACAGAAGAAGCACCGGCUAACUCCGUGCCAGCAGCCGCGGUAAUACGGAGGGUGCGAGCGUUAAUCGGAAUUACUGGGCGUAAAGGGCACGCAGGCGGUUAAUAAGUGGAUGUGAAUCCCCGGGCUUAACCUGGGAAUGGCAUUCAAGACUGGUUAGCUAGAGUCUUGUAGAGGGGGUAGAAUUCCAUGUGUAGCGGUGAAAUGCGUAGAGAUGUGGAGGAAUACCGGUGGCGAAGGCGGCCCCUGGGACAAAGACUGACGCUCAUGUGCGAAAGCGUGGGGAGCAAACAGGAUUAGGAUACC